GUUUUGUCAGGACUCCUGAUGACGUUUAGAGACAUGUCCUACAACUACAGCACCAGAAUUGUGCUGCUGAAGCAAGUCCGUUUUUUAAAAUUUUUGUUUUGUCGGGACUCCUGAUGACGUUUUGAGACAUCUACAACUACAGCACCAGAAUUGUGCUGCUGAAGCAAGUUUUGUCUGGACUCCUGAUGACGUUUUGAGACAUCUACAACUACAGCACCAGAAUUGUGCUGCUGAAGCAAGUCCAUUUUUUUGAAAUUUUUGUAAGGGUCCCCCCUUACGACAUUUUAGCAAAAACAUUUUUUCAUAAAAUAUACAUUUUCUUCCAUUUUUAGGUUUUU